ACCAAAAAUUGCCAGCCGUUCAACUUAUCGCCGCGAAACAUGUCUCCAGAAGAACCAACCUUCAUGUGCUGCACCAUCGGUGGCGACUGCAUCAAGAAAUGCCGUUAAUUUGGACUUUAUCAUAAUUCAAUUUUUAUUUUGUCUUUUUUUUUUAUCUUAUAACCAAUAAUUUUCUCCAAUAUUGCAGAAACCUGCGAAGCGAGAUUGGUAGCGCACGAAAUCCUGGCACUGCUGUUCCACCGUGCGUCGCUGAUCCAUCCUCCUCUCUCCGGCGUCGAGCUUUCGACUUUCCUGCAUAGUGCCUAAAAUCCAUACUCCCUCAUCCACGGUGCGUGAAAUCCUUAAUCUCCGAUCUACCCUGCGCCUCUAUGUGGUUGUGGAGUCGCCGACUGCACUUCAUCCUUCUCUCACCGGCGUCGAAGUUUUCCAUCUCCUUGAUCGUGCGUGAAACCCUUACACCUUCCUUCCCCUUGUGCCAAUCUGAGCUAUCGCAGCCUCUCCGCUGUUACUGAUGACCACAACUAUGUCGAUAAUGGGCAUUUGUGUUUGGAAGUGAAGUGGGGAAUGCGUGUGGUACUGAACCAGGAUUUGGAGUAACCCAACUCUGGCAGAUAUUGAUUUAGUUUGAUGAUUGCGCAACUCACAGGUAUUCUUUCAUCAUCUCAAUGUCCAAUCUUUUCCAACCUUUGACAUUCACAUCACCAAAUUAAACAUUAUUUUUCUGUUUUCCUUUUCCAUUCAUGUAAUAAUUUUUCUUCAGGGUCUGUAUGUCAUUUUAAAAUAUAAACGGUUUGUAUUUUUCUUUUCUUAUCAACACUAUUUUUCCAUUCCAACCAAACACAUACUAGGCUUCCAGUAGAUUCUACUGGAGUACAACACAGGAGGCUUUUCUUCCCAUGUUCUAUAUUUCUACUAUUGUUACUAUUAUUGUCACUCUAUGAUGCUAUGUUAUUCGAGUAUUAAGCUUGAAGCUUGGCUGAAAUUGUCUAAUCUAUGUCCUUGUUGGAGAGAAGAGGAUUGAGAUAUGUUGAGGAUGAUUCAUAAUUAAUAUGAGUAACUGAAACUCAUCAGAGAAUAACUUAUUGGUGUUUAUGCUACCAUGUUGCUGAAAUGCACUUGGUUUUCUUGGCUAAUUUGAUGUAAAUGGUGAUAUCCAUGUUUCAAAAUAAAGUAGCGUUCUUUAUUUAUGUAUAGAGACAUUUUUAGUGGUUAUUGGCUUUUUACUAUAUUUGCCUCCACUUGAUGUUAUUAGUAAGUUGAGACUCUUGUUUGACUUUUAUUUUUUUAAAAAAAGGAGACUGAGAAAUGUGAAUGUGAUAUAAUAAACUCUGUGAGGCAGUAGAGUAUUAUAUAUGUUGUUGCAAUUAUCAAGUAUCCAUGGAAAGCUAACUUUUUUGGUA